GGACACGUAGCUCAGCCAGGAUAGAGCGUUGGGCUUUUAAAUCAAAGAAAUUGAUAGGGAAACCCAAUGGCCGCGGGUUCGACUCCCGUCGUGUCCG
rnacentral:tRNA from 1 species